rnacentral:rRNA from 1 species
UUUAAAGUCUAAUCUGCCCUAUGAGGUAUUAAAUGGCCGCGGUAUUUUGACCGUGCAAAGGUAGCAUAAUAAUUAGUUUUUUAAUUGAAAGCUAGCAUGAAUGAUUGGACGAGAAAAUAGCUGUCUCGAUUUAAUUUUAUUAGAAUUUUAUUUUUAAGUAAAAAAGCUUAAAUUAUAUUAAAAGACGAGAAGACCCUAUAGAGUUUUAUAAUUAAUUUAUUAUAUAUUUUUAAGAAUUUUUUUAUUUAUAUUAAAUUGAUUAUUUUAUUGGGGCGAUAGAAAAAUUUUAUUAACUUUUUUUUAGUAUUUAUAACAUUAAUUUAUGAUUUAUUGAUCCAUUAUUUAUGAUUAUAAGAUUAAGUUACCUUAGGGAUAACAGCGUAAUUUUUUUUUAGAGUUCUUAUCGAAAGAAAAGAUUGCGACCUCGAUGUUGGAUUAAAAUUUAUAUUUGGUGUAGGAGCUAAAUAAUUAGGUCUGUUCGACCUUUAAAAUUUUACA